rnacentral:rRNA from 1 species
GGAUUAGAUACCCUGGUAGUCCACGCCGUAAACGAUGUUUGCUAGUUGUCAGGCCCUUAGGGUUUGGUGACGGAGAGAAAUCAUUAAGCAAACCGCCUGGGGAGUACGGCCGCAAGGUUAAAACUCAAAGGAAUUGACGGGGACCCGCACAAGCGGUGGAGCAUGUUGUUUAAUUCGAAGCAACGCGAAGAACCUUACCCACUCUUGACAUCCUCCUUGGGACUUUCAGAGAUGAUUGUCUUCGGUUCGGCCGGGGGAGUGACAGGUGCUGCAUGGCUGUCGUCAGCUCGUGCCG